AAAAAAAAAAAAAGAAUCCCUCCUCAUCCAAUUUUCUUUAUUCCCUUGUCACCCACAUCGAACUCCCUCUUGGCUUGCUCUUUACAACAGAACAAAAAGAAACAAAUUGGUUUUCUCUCCUUUAACCCAAGCCUACUCAGAUCUCACCUCCUAAUCUCGUAGCCAUGUCCAAAGCUCAUGUCUCCCCCGACAUCAACGUACUCCGCAGCAAGGAGUACUGGGACUCCGAGUCCAUCACCAUCCAAAGGAGGUAAGUGAACCCUAAUUCUCUAAACCCUAAUCUAAUCUAAUUCCUCAAUUUUUUUUCAAUCUGAUUUUGGUUGUUAUCGGUUUUGGUUUUCUAAUCAAGGUUUUGGUUUUGGUUGUCAACUGGGGAUGAAGGGGAUUAGACGGAGAAAGGGGAAAAAAAGAAAAAGGAAUGGGGACAACGAACAGAGGAGGACAAAGGGACGGAAGAAAAGAAUAGAGGAGAGGGAAGAAGAGAAAAGAAAGAAGCGAAAGGAAAAAACAGAAGAAAAGAAAAAAGAAGAUAGGAAGGGAGAAAGAGAUAGAGAUUUUGGGCUCAAUGAUAAGUUGGUCUUAUGGAGAGUUUCUGUUCUAGAAUAGGAUUUUGGUCCAGGAGUUUCGGGUACUGCAACUAGGAGGAAGAUGUGAGAAUUUGAUCUCAUGAUCAUGGAACUUCACCAUCAAAAUUCUGGAUGUUGAAGACUUCAAAGAAGUUUGGCAUAACUUCUUGAGCCUUGCUUUCAUGCUAGUUCUGGUCCUGUUUAGAUUUGAGGUGGAAUAUUGGUAGGAAUGGCGGGUCCUUCUGGGGCUGGAAAGUUUGUGUUUACUGAAAUGAACUGAUGGCAACUUAUGGUAAGUCAGUAGCUCGCGGUCAUAUCCAUGGACAACAACAAUGAUGCUAGUCGAAUUGUUGAUGGCGACUUUGAUGGAUAGUUGAAGUCUCAAGCUCCCAUAUUGUGAUCAUUGAGGGCAGCUAUGCUUUUAGUGAAAAGUUGCGGCCUUUAUUGGAUCUACGAGUAUCUGUCAUAGGUGAUGUUCACUUUGACCUUCUGGCCAAGAACCAGAAGUAAUAAUUCAUCAAAUAUCUGAAACAGUACUUCUCUGCUUCCCUCAUUACCAAUAAGCACUUGAGAAAUUGUUGUUUUCCCAGAAGCUCUUAACUUCUUUCCCAUGUACAGGUAUACCCAAUGUACAAGGCCUUUAUCGAGCCAUGUAAAAAUUAUCAAAAAGUUCAAUCCAUUUAUUGGA